rnacentral:rRNA from 1 species
CCCGCCUUAAAAGGGGAACCGCCCCCAUUGGAAUUAAGAUAGGGCCCAGACUCCUAGGGCAGGCGCCAGUGGGGAAUUUUGCACAAUGGGCGCAAGCCUGAUGCAGCGACGCCGCGUGAGGGAUGGAGGCCUUCGGGUGGUAAACCUCUUUUAUCGGGGAGCAAGCGAGAGUGAGUUUACCCGUUGAAUAAGCACCGGCUAACUACGUGCCAGCAGCCGCGGUAAUACGUAGGGUGCAAGCGUUAUCCGGAAUUAUUGGGCGUAAAGGGCUCGUAGGCGGUUCGUCGCGUCCGGUGUGAAAGUCCAUCGCUUAACGGUGGAUCCGCGCCGGGUACGGGCGGGCUUGAGUGCGGUAGGGGAGACUGGAAUUCCCGGUGUAACGGUGGAAUGUGUAGAUAUCGGGAAGAACACCAAUGGCGAAGGCAGGUCUCUGGGCCGUUACUGACNNGAGGAGC